rnacentral:rRNA from 2 species
AGAAGUGGUAACAAGGUUUCCGUAGGUGAACCUGCGGAAGGAUCAUUG